CGCGAGUUUUAACGCAGCCCAUUAUUUUUCACUCAUAUAAAAAUAAAAAAUCCGUCCUUUUCUCUUUCCUUUUCAUUUUCUUCUCUUUCUUCUCCUCUCCCCGGAAACUCCGCCGUAGAGAGAAAACUCUCUUGAGCUUAGAUCUAUCUGGUGAAUGACUAAAACACUCGCAGUAUCGGUCAUGGCACAAGAGCAUAAUUUCCAAAUUUUCAACGGCGGUAUUCGAGUCUCAGAUCAAGUUUUCGACUUUGGGUCGUAGCAAUUUUUAGUUGUGGGUGAGAUCAACUAAGGGAAUCAAGUGCGUAGAGUCCUGCUGGGAUUCACAUACGUAAGGAGCGCAACUGUACUUUGAUCAGUGUGAGAUUGGUUAGGGUUCAACUACAUUCCAGUCCUAAGUUAACUUGAGGAGUAGGCUAGUGUCUGUAGCGGCUUAAUACAGUGUGGUGUUCAAAUCUGGACUAGGUCCCGGGAGUUUUCUGCAUUUGCGGUUUCCUCGUUAACAAAACUUCUGGUGUCUGUGUUAUUUCUUUUCCGCAUUAUAUUUGUUUAUAUAAUUGAAAUAUCACAGGUUGUGCGCAAGUUCAAUCAACUAUGAAUCCAACUUUUGUUUGUUGAUUAAAUUGAUUGACACUUGGAUAUUGGUUUUUGAUACCGUCUAAGUUAUUUCUUAUAUUCAAUCGGUCUUGCAAAUUCCUAUUU